GGAUCAGAGGAAUUUAAAAAAUCAUCAGAUCCUACCUCUAAAGCCUAUAUUCAACAAAACUGUAAAAUCUGCAGGAAAUGGACAAUUUCCUAGAUAGAUACCAAGUACCAAAGUUAAACCAGGAAAAGAUAAACCAUUUAAAUAACCUCAUAACUCCUAAAGAAAUAGAAGCAGUCAUUAAAGGUCUCCCAACCAAAAAGAGCCCAGGUCCAGAUGGGUUCAGUGCAGAAUUUGAUCAGAAUUUCACGGAAGACCUCAUACCAAUACUAUCCAAACUCUUCCACAAAAUUGAAACAGACGGAGGCUACUGAAUUCCUUCUAUGAAGCCACAAUUACUCUUUUUUUCCAUCAUUAUUAAUUUGAGUAUUUUUUAUCUACAUUUCCAUUGUUACUCCCCUUCUCGGUUUCCAGGUCAACAUCCCCCUAACCACUCCCCCUCCCCUUCUAUAAGAGUGUUCCCCUCCCCAUCCUUCCCCCAUUACUGCCCUCCUCCCAACAAUCAGGUUCACUGUGGGUUCAGUCCUGGCAGGACAAAGGGCUUCCCCUUCCACUGGUGCUCUUACUAGGCUACUCAUUGCUACCUAUGAGGUUGGACCCA
rnacentral:lncRNA from 1 species